rnacentral:rRNA from 1 species
CAGCAGCCGCGGUAAUACGUAGGUCCCGAGCGUUGUCCGGAUUUAUUGGGCGUAAAGCGAGCGCAGGCGGUUAGAUAAGUCUGAAGUUAAAGGCUGUGGCUUAACCAUAGUACGCUUUGGAAACUGUUUAACUUGAGUGCAAGAGGGGAGAGUGGAAUUCCAUGUGUAGCGGUGAAAUGCGUAGAUAUAUGGAGGAACACCGGUGGCGAAAGCGGCUCUCUGGCUUGUAACUGACGCUGAGGCUCGAAAGCGUGGGGAGCAAACAGGAUUAGAUACCCCAGUAGUCCCUGUCUCUUAUACA